CAGUAGCCACGGUAAGACAGAGGAUGCAAGCGUUAUCCGGAAUGAUUGGGCGUAAAGGGCUCGCAGGCGGUUUCUUAAGUCUGAUGUGAAAGCCCCCGGCUCAACCGGGGAGGGUCAUUGGAAACUGGGAAACUUGAGUGCAGAAGAGGAGAGUGGAAUUCCACGUGUAGCGGUGAAAUGCGUAGAGAUGUGGAGGAACACCGGUGGCGAAGGCGACUCUCUGGUCUGUAACUGACGCUAAGGAGCGAAAGCGUGGGGAGCGAACAGGAUUAGAUACCCCAGUAGUCCCUGUCUCUUAUAC
rnacentral:rRNA from 1 species